UACGAAUGGGGCAAGCGUUGUUCGGAAUCACUGGGCUUAAAGCGUACGCAGGCGGCCAAGCAAGUCAGAAGUGAAAUCCCUGGGCUUAACCUAGGAAUUGCUUUUGAAACUGCACGGCUAGAAUCCGGGAGAGGUUGGCGGAAUUCCGAGUGUAGCAGUGAAAUGCGCAGAUAUUCGGAGGAACACCAGUGGCGAAGGCGGCCAACUGGACCGGCAUUGACGCUCAUGUACGAAAGCGUGGGUAGCAAACAGG
rnacentral:rRNA from 1 species